CUGUGCACUGGGGCCUUCUUCCCAUGGGCCAUCCCUCCACCAUGCUGUCCUCUUCUGCCGUUGAUCCCAGGGGCUCCUGCUGCUCAGGCCUCCCAAGAGGCUGCAGAGGAAGAAAGCUAGGCACAUCCUCACUGUGGGCCUCACUUCCCCAUUGGUGAAAUGAGGGGGAUUGGACCAGGGGAUCUCUAAGCUCUCCUCCAUCUCUGGCCUUCAAAGAUGUAACCAAGAUGUGAAGAUUCUGAACAGACUCCCCAGAGACUGAGAGCCUUAUGGAGACAAAGAGAAGGAUUGAGAUGUGUGUUGAUAGAGAAAGAACUCCCCAAGGAGGUCAUCACAGAUCUUGGAAGCAAGUGUGGAUUUUGGACAGCU